GGAGUUGGAAGAGACCUUUAGAACAGCUGGUCAUUAUGCCGACCGGGUGCCUGCACUAAGUUCGGCAUCAGUGUGUUGACCUCCUGUGAGCAGGGGGCCACCAAGUUGCCUAAGGAUGGCUGAACUGGCCCAGGUCAGAAAGAGAGCAGGUCAGAACUCCCA
rnacentral:sRNA from 1 species